CCUACGGGCGGCUGCAGUGGGGAAUAUUGCACAAUGGGCGCAAGCCUGAUGCAGCCAUGCCGCGUGUGUGAAGAAGGCCUUCGGGUUGUAAAGCACUUUCAGCGGGGAGGAAGGCGGUGAGGUUAAUAACCUCACCGAUUGACGUUACCCGCAGAAGAAGCACCGGCUAACUCCGUGCCAGCAGCCGCGGUAAUACGGAGGGUGCAAGCGUUAAUCGGAAUUACUGGGCGUAAAGCGCACGCAGGCGGUCUGUCAAGUCGGAUGUGAAAUCCCCGGGCUCAACCUGGGAACUGCAUUCGAAACUGGCAGGCUAGAGUCUUGUAGAGGGGGGUAGAAUUCCAGGUGUAGCGGUGAAAUGCGUAGAGAUCUGGAGGAAUACCGGUGGCGAAGGCGGCCCCCUGGACAAAGACUGACGCUCAGGUGCGAAAGCGUGGGGAGCAAACAGGAUUAGAUACCCCUGUAGUC
rnacentral:rRNA from 1 species